GGUGCAGGAGUGCAUGCCCAGCCCCAGUGGAAUGCACAUUACAGCAACACAUCAGGAAAAAAAUAAGACACUUUAGGACCAUCACUGACUUAAGAUUGUUUAUCUAUGUUCUAGAAUGGCUCUCCUGCAAAGCACUGCAAUAUUACUUUCCUGACAAGGACAAGACUCUUCUUAAAAGAUACUCCUCUCCAUAGCAUUAAGUGAGGAGCCCACUGAGUAAAGAUUGGAUGCAAGAAAAGGAAGUACUGGAAAGAUCAAAGAAACAGCUCUU